UUCUCUUUGUUUUCGACAAUUUCCUCUUACUAGGAUUUCUGUCUCCUUGUACACAAAUUGCCUGUUUAUAGGCCUCCUUUCAAAAUCAAUACAACCUUCUUUCAAAAGAUGCUUUUGUUUUUUCUUUUUCUGUUUUGUUUGCGUAAACGUCCAUUGAUUUAAUUUGAAUUAAUAUAUGCAUUUGAAUAUGACCAAUGUUUACCAAAAUACAUGCAUAGAAUAGCAAUAGCAAUUACUACAAGACUUCAGGAUCGAGGAUAAGGUCUAA
rnacentral:lncRNA from 1 species